ACUCCUACGGGAGGCAGCAGUGGGGAAUUUUGGACAGUGGGGGCAACCCUGAUCCAGCCAUGCCGCGUGAGUGAAGAAGGCCUUCGGGUUGUAAAGCUCUUUCGGCCGGGAAGAAAUCGUGGUCUCUAACAUAGGCCAUGGAUGACGGUACCGGACUAAGAAGCACCGGCUAACUACGUGCCAGCAGCCGCGGUAAUAC
rnacentral:rRNA from 1 species